rnacentral:rRNA from 2 species
GAGUCUUAAUUGGGCGUUAAGUUGCAGGGUAUAGACCCGAAACCCGGUGAUCUAGCCAUGGGCAGGUUGAAGGUUGGGUAACACUAACUGGAGGACCGAACCGACUAAUGUUGAAAAAUUAGCGGAUGACCUGUGGCUGGGGGUGAAAGGCCAAUCAAACCGGGAGAUAGCUGGUUCUCCCCGAAAGCUAUUUAGGUAGCGCCUCGUGAAUUCAUCUCCGGGGGUAGAGCACUGUUUCGGCUAGGGGGCCAUCCCGGCUUACCAACCCGAUGCAAACUGCGAAUACCGGAGAAUGUUAUCACGGGAGACACACGGCGGGUGCUAACGUCCGUCGUGAAGAGGGAAACAACCCAGACCGCCAGCUAAGGUCCCAAAGUCAUGGUUAAGUGGGAAACGAUGUGGGAAGGCCCAGACAGCCAGGAUGUUGGCUUAGAAGCAGCCAUCAUUUAAAGAAAGCGUAAUAGCUCACUGGUCGAGUCGGCCUGCGCGGAAGAUGUAACGGGGCUAAACCAUGCACCGAAGCUGCGGCAGCGAACGUAUCACUUAAAGCGAUUCAGCGGGUUACGAUUGACGGAGCGAAGCGACGUCAAAGCGUAUACAAAGUCGAGUCGGUUUAAGGAUACGUUCGUUGGGUA